GGGUUUUUUAUUUUUUGAGGGGGGAGUGUUAAGUAGUUAGAAUAGGAAAAAGGAGUUUAGAAUGGUGGUGGUUAAAAAAUAAGGAAGGGAAAAGUUUGUAAAAAUAGAAUAAAAGAAGAUUUAAGGAUUGGAGUGAGGUUUUUAGGUAGAAUAAAUAGUAUUUUUUGGUUAUUUUAAUUUAUAUAGGGUAGGUUUAGGGGGAGG
rnacentral:misc_RNA from 1 species